UUCUGGUUCCUUCAUAGAACCAUCAAUGAAAGAGAGCUUGUUCUUCACCGAGAGGGCAAUGGUCAUGGCGCGACUUCAGGAGCCAUAGUUUUCUCCUGUAAGUUGUUGUGACACGAGCACUAAUCCAGGGUUGUCUAAGUGGUGAAGGAGGUAUAGGCUAGACGGAUCAUCAAUGGUGGUUUUGCUGAUAGAUGAUCGAAUUUCAGAACUAGCUUCGAAUUGUGUUGGCU
rnacentral:lncRNA from 1 species